AACUAUUCUCUCGGUAUUAGCUUUAUUGACAGCUGUCUUUCUGGGACAAAUGCCAGUUAUUUCCCACUGGAAAGAGUGACUUUAUAAUAAAACUGACGCUCUGGAAAUUGUAUCCUUGCUUUUAUCAACUAGAUAAAUAUGAAUGCAGUUCCAAUAGUAUAAAUGUUUAAAAGGCAGGUCCAACUAAUGUCCUCAGGAAGUCCUCUAGCUCCACUUGCAACCAAAUGGAGCACACCAUGUGCUACACUCAUUGUUGUUAAAAAGUAGUCUUUUUUAUG